AUUCUUCUGGUUUAUGAUAUUCUUCUGGUUCAUAAACUGGAGGGUGUUUGUGACCAGGUGGUUUGUGAACCGGGGGUUUGUAGUGACCUUCUAAUUCAUUUACUGGUGGUUUGUGCACGGGUGGUUUGUGCACUGGUGGCUUGUGAACGGGGGGUUUGUAGUGACCUCCUAGUUCCUCUACAGGGGGCUUGUGGUAGGGAGGUGGUUUGUGAACGGGUGGUUUGUGCACUGGUGGCUUGUGGUGAUUAUCUAUGUCGGAAACUGGCGGCUUGUGAUAUGGUGGUUUGUGGAUGGGCAGUUUGAGCUCAGCGAGGGAGGGAGUGGCAAGAACCACCACCCCAAGGAAGACGAGAAGAUUGAAAGACAUGCUAAUGUGUUUGUGCUGAUGUAGUGUAAUGACAAUGGGUUUUUAUAGGGAGCUUGGGAUCACUUACGACAAUUACUUGCAAUAAUUUUUGCUUUUAACACUUGUAGGGUUGGUACAUGGUACUCUCUCCGUUUCAAUUUACAUGUCCACUUUGAAUAAAAAAAUUUGUUUCAAAUUAGUUGUUCAGUUCAACUUUUAAUACAAAAUUAUAUUUCCAAAAUCAAUUCUACUCCAUAUAUUUUUCAUUUAUAUUUUUCAGAUCAAUCUCAGUCCACAAAUUAGGGUCAUUUAAUGUAAUUAAUUUGUCAACAUUCACUUUUCUUAAACUGUGUGAUUUUUUAGAAGUGAACAUCUAAUUUGAAACAGAAAAGAGACUAAUUUUUCAGCAAAAGAUAAUGUAUUCUUAUAGACUAUAGUGCAUGCAUGAAUAUGCAUAUUUAACCGACAACAUAGACCUUAAGACAUUCUUUUAGUAAAUUACUAAAGAGGUAGAGAACUGGAUUUUGAACACUUGGUUAAAAUCGAGUGAAAAUUAGGACAGAGAUUUUAGAUUAUUGUAGCACUGAACACAAAGUCGUUAAUUGAUUUGAUUGAGGUUUGCUGUUUGUAAGAAAUUUACCAACCCACUUACACUUUCGUGUAUUUACGUAUCUUUUUCUUUUCUUUAAAUUAAAAAGAGCAGGUGUUGAUACUUGACACUAGUUGCUUACAAGUUUUUGUUUGGCCUUGGGGUGGUUAAUACAGGAUACUCGGUAAUAAGACCAUGCACAAGGCUUCUAGAACGACUUUAAAUUAUUAUAAAAUUGAUUAACGAAAAAUAAGUGGUUUUUGUCAAAUGACGCUAUAUAUAUAGUGGUCAUGUUUAAAGAAAAUACAAAACUUUAAUUAAGUAACUAAUUGUAGUUUACUUUAUUCAAAAGAAUAAAAAUAGCCAUAACAAUUGCUAUUUUGUGACUGUCUAGUAAUACUUAGACACAUAUAUUAAUUUAUAUAUAAUAAUUUUGACAAGAUAGAAAGAUGUGUGUUUUUUCUGCUGCUGAGAAAAACUACUGUAAUUUAGUUUUAGUAUAUAAUUUCUGAUUUUCACUGAAUCAGCAUAAAACAGGACCCAGCUAAAGCUUGUGAUAACGUGAAUCAAUCCAGCUAUCAACGGAUUCCUAUCAUUUUGUCAGAUGAAACUAGAUAUUUUAUUGUCAAUUUUAUGAAUAACUUUUAUUAUUUUUUCACCCGCACCAGAGUCUUUGUUAGUUGCCAUGCAGGGAGUAGUCUAUUCAGGGAUAUAUGAAGUUUGAGUUUUCCGUCUUGUUUUGUAUCCAAAUUAUGUUGGGAUCAGAAUUGAUAAAGGAAGAAGGCAGAAAGCUUUUCUUUAUAUAUUAUUAUUUGCUGGCUUAAUUUACAACUGAUCCAUCUAGUCUUUAUAUAGAUAGACUAGGAAGACUAUGAGUUUAGAUCAUUAAUAAGGUUCAUGAAUAAGUUCAGGAGACCUUCCAUUGCUUACAUUGAAUAUUUGACUCAUUACUUAUAACUAGAAUCAUCUAGACUCUUAGAGAUAAUUCAAGAGAAUUACAAAUUAACUUAUUUUUAACANNNNNNNNNNNNNNNNNNNNNNNNNNNNNNNNNNNNNNNNNNNNNNNNNNNNNNNNNNNNNNNNNNNNNNNNNNNNNNNNNNNNNNNNNNNNNNNNNNNNNNNNNNNNNNNNNNNNNNNNNNNNNNNNNNNNNNNNNNNNNNNNNNNNNNNNNNNNNNNNNNNNNNNNNNNNNNNNNNNNNNNNNNNNNNNNNNNNNNNNNNNNNNNNNNNNNNNNNNNNNNNNNNNNNNNNNNNNNNNNNNNNNNNNNNNNNNNNNNNNNNNNNNNNNNNNNNNNNNNNNNNNNNNNNNNNNNNNNNNNNNNNNNNNNNNNNNNNNNNNNNNNNNNNNNNNNNNNNNNNNNNNNNNNNNNNNNNNNNNNNNNNNNNNNNNNNNNNNNNNNNNNNNNNNNNNNNNNNNNNNNNNNNNNNNNNNNNNNNNNNNNNNNNNNNNNNNNNNNNNNNNNNNNNNNNNNNNNNNNNNNNNNNNNNNNNNNNNNNNNNNNNNNNNNNNNNNNNNNNNNNNNNNNNNNNNNNNNNNNNNNNNNNNNNNNNNNNNNNNNNNNNNNNNNNNNNNNNNNNNNNNNNNNNNNNNNNNNNNNNNNNNNNNNNNNNNNNNNNNNNNNNNNNNNNNNNNNNNNNNNNNNNNNNNNNNNNNNNNNNNNNNNNNNNNNNNNNNNNNNNNNNNNNNNNNNNNNNNNNNNNNNNNNNNNNNNNNNNNNNNNNNNNNNNNNNNNNNNNNNNNNNNNNNNNNNNNNNNNNNNNNNNNNNNNNNNNNNNNNNNNNNNNNNNNNNNNNNNNNNNNNNNNNNNNNNNNNNNNNNNNNNNNNNNNNNNNNNNNNNNNNNNNNNNNNUGUUGGGAUCAGAAUUGAUAAAGGAAGAAGGCAGAAAGCUUUUCUUUAUAUAUUAUUAUUUGCUGGCUUAAUUUACAACUGAUCCAUCUAGUCUUUAUAUAGAUAGACUAGGAAGACUAUGAGUUUAGAUCAUUAAUAAGGUUCAUGAAUAAGUUCAGGAGACCUUCCAUUGCUUACAUUGAAUAUUUGACUCAUUACUUAUAACUAGAAUCAUCUAGACUCUUAGAGAUAAUUCAAGAGAAUUACAAAUUAACUUAUUUUUAACACCCCCUCUUAAUUUGUAAUUCCUAAACUUUCCUUGAAUUUUGUAAAUUUCUCAGUUGAGACUGAUUUUGUGAAAAUAUCAGCAACUUGCUCAUUUGUGUUGAUGAACUUUAGCGAAACUUCUCCAUCUUGCACCAGAUCCCGAAUAAAGUGAUGACGUAGCUCAAUAUGUUUGGUGCGGCUAUGAAAGACAGGAUUUUUAGUCAUUGCAAUUGCUGACAUGUUGUCACACAAUAAAUUUGUUGGGAUCAUUCUGAAGUGAUGGUUGAGAUGUAUUGUUCUGAAAGUUCCACUGUUUUGUUUCAUCAAAAAUUACAUCUCUGGAGAUCACAAAUUUCUUUGUGGCAGGAUUAAAGAGACGAUAGCCUUUUGAUUCUUCGCUGUAGCCAAGAAAUAGCAGCUUCUCUCCUUUCUCAUCAAAUUUCUCUCUGUGUUGUGCUGGAAUAUGAGAAUAGGCGAUGCAUCCAAACACUUUGAGUUGAUGUACUUCUGGUUUCUGCUUAUACCAAGCUUCAUAAGGCGUUUUAUUGAACACCGCCUUUGUUGGAGAGAUAUUCAGAAGAUAGAUAGCUGUGCAAACAGCUUCUGCCCAGAAAAUAUUUGACAAACCUUUUGCUUUUAACAUGCUUCUGGCCAUCUCGACUAUUGUCCGAUUCUUCCGUUCUGCAACGCCGUUUUGUUGAGGACUAUACCUUAUCGUUAGCUGCCUCCUUAUACCUUUUUCUUUGCAGUAAUUAAGAAAGGGUUGAGAUAAAUACUCCCCACCACGAUCAGUCCUGAGUGUCUUUAUUUUUCUUCCACUUUGAUUUUCCACCAACGCCUUGAAGUGAAUAAAUGAGAUGAACGCCUCAGAUUUUUGCUUCAGAAAAUACACCCACAUCAUUCUAGUGUAGUCAUCCACAAACAAGAGAAAAUAUUUGCUGCCAUUGAGUGAAGGAGUCCUUGAUUCACAUAUAUCAGAGUGAACCAGUUCUAAUGGAGCCCUUGCUCUCCAGGCUGUUUUCGGGAACGACAAUCUGUGCAUCUUUCCAUAUAUGCAACCUUCACAGACUUUAUUGAUUUUGGAGAUACAUGGCAGGCCUAUAACCAUGUUUUUAUCUUUCAAUAGCUUAAGACCAUUGAAGUUGAGAUGCCCGUAUCUUAGAUGCCAUAUAAAUGAAUCAUCAUUCUGCUCAACUUUUAACGCAACAUUACCUUCCAAUGGCAUAGAUAAUGGAAAGGUUUUAUUUGAAAUCAUUUUAACUCUUGCCACUGUAAAUUUCUUCUUCUUAUCAAAAAUAACACAAUGCUCAUCAUCGAAAUUUAUUGAGAAACCUCUUUGCAUCAGUUGGCCAAUACUCAACAAAUUUUGAGUUAAUUCAGGAACGUAGUGAACAUCAGCGAUGUUUAGAGUCAUACCUUCUUUAGAGCAGAAUGUAAUGAUGCCUUUUCCUUCAAUUUUCAGCAUUUUUCCAUCUCCAAUCUUUACUUCAGAUUUAUGGCUUUCAUCAAGCUCUGAAAAAAGCUCCUUGCUGCCUGUCAUGUGAUUGCUACAAGCGCUAUCAAUAUACCACUUCUUUUGCUGCACUUGCUGGUCAUUCAUACAUGAAAAAGUCACAUGUGUCUCUUCACUCUCCUCCGAAAAAUUUGCAUUUGCUUGAGUUCUGUUUUGGAACCAGCAGUCUCUCUGAGAAUGGUUAGAAACUUUGCACCUUUUGCAUCUGAAUUUGCAAUUUUUUGACUCAUGAUUUGAUCGCUUGCAGAUGAUACAUUUGAAAUUGUUGAAGUUGCUUCUUUGAUUAAAAUUUCGCGUUCCUCCUCUUCCUUGAAAAUUCUGAUUCCUUUUCUAGUAUUUUGAUUCCUGCUGUAGUUUCUUCGUGCUUCGUUUUCCUGAUUUACUUCACCGUUUUUGUUGCUUAUGCUGAUAUUUGCUUGAAAAGCUUGCUCCAGGGGCUGAUUUGAGAAUCUGCGAAUUCUUUCCUCGUUAGCUUCAAGAGCGCCCAUAAGUUCAUCCACCGUUAAUUUGGACAAGUCCUUAGAAAUUUCAAUCGCUGCUACUACAUGCUCGAACUUCGCUGGCAGGCUUCUUAAAAUUUUAUGAACAACUUUUUUAUCAUCCAAAGUAUCUCCAUAACUUCGAAUCUGAUUAAUGAUUGUUGACACCUUAGAGAAGAAGUCCUGAAUACUUUCACUUUCUUUCAUCUGCAGGUUGUCAAAUUCUCUCCAUAGCGAUUGCAGCUUUACUGAAAUUACUGCUUCAUAGCCUUGAAACUGAUUCCGCAAAAGAUCCCAUGCUUCUUUUGACGUUUUUGCACCCAUAAUACGUGGAAAUAUUGCUUUACUGACUCCUUGCUGAAUAAAGAGUAAAGCCCUGGCAUCUUUCUUCUUAUUAUUCUUAAAUUCAUUCUGCUUAGCCGCUGACCAGGAUGCAAUUUCUUCUUGCGUUGCUCCAGCUUCAUAGCCAUCUUCUACCAAGUCCCAUAAGUCAUGAGAGAUGAAUAACGUCUUCAUCUGGAUGCUCCAGAAGUCAUAGCUUUCACCGUUAAAAAUAGGAAUACUGCUUUGCGCAUAGUUGAAUAACACUUCACUAGAUGCUGCCAUUACAUAUAUAAGAGGGUUUAUGAAACUUAAGUGUUUUGGAGGUCUGGAAUGAACCUGGCUCUGAUACCAAAUUUGUUGGGAUCAGAAUUGAUAAAGGAAGAAGGCAGAAAGCUUUUCUUUAUAUAUUAUUACUUGCUGGCUUAAUUUACAACUGAUCCAUCUAGUCUUUAUAUAGAUAGACUAGGAAGACUAUGAGUUUAGAUCAUUAAUAAGGUUCAUGAAUAAGUUCAGGAGACCUUCCAUUGCUUACAUUGAAUAUUUGACUCAUUACUUAUAACACUACUAGAAAAGCGGGCAUUUCCGACCAAAAUUUCCGACCGACCACAGUGGUCGGAAAAAAAGCGGACAUUUCCGACCGACUUACCGACCAAACACGAUCGGUCGUAAAAAAUGGCUUCAUUUACGACCGCCAUUACCGACCGCACCAAAUCGGUCGGUUAUAAUGGGCGUGGGUCCCGCUCACCAACGUUCUUCAGCUGACAUGGACGCCACGUCGGUAAAACCGACCGACACAUUUCCGACCGCCUAUGGUCAUUUCCGACCACCUUGACAGGUUUAAAAUAAUUGGUCAGCUUUUAACUUGUUGUCGACUUGUGAUUGGCUAAGUGGGGACGAGGUGGAGUCCUGAUUAUUUCCGACCGAUUUUGGCGGUCGGAAAUGGCCUGCUUCGUUUCCGACCGAAUUAAAACCCGGGGGGUCGGUUUUGACUUCUUAGAAAAACAAUAAAUCCUAUUCGAUUAAGUAAACUAUUCAAAAAAACUAAAAACAUUGUACAUCCAGAAAACCGACCACAUUCAAUAUAUUUCCGACCAAACUCAUAAUUUUAACACAGAAAACCGACCACAUGCAACACAUUUCCGAGCAAACUCAUAAUUUUAACACAGAAAACCGACCAAAUUGAACUCAUUUCCGACCAAAAACUCAAGUGCAGAAAACCGACCAUUUCGUUCUGUCAUUUCCGACCGAUUUACGACUCUGGCGGUCGGUUAUGACUUUUGAGAAAAACUAAAAAAUUAUUCGGCUAAGUAAACUUUAAAAAAAAUCGAAACUAGCUUUUAGUCAGUUAAUAAAUUAAUAAAAAAUUAUUCAUCACUUAAUAUUUGAUUUUUAAAUUUUUUUAUUUCCUUAACAAAAUAUAUUUACUGACUAACUAAUUUCAAAUUAAUUAUUCAAACAGCAGAAAAAUGUAGAAUCUUUGUGAUAUGGUCUACUUUAAGGUACUAAUCAUGAUAGCAAAAGAAGAAAAAUAUAAAAAAAAUUAUAAAGACACUAUUCUGUUACGAAUCAUGCAUUGCAGUGAAUGUCAGAGUUCAGGAUUUGGAUUUUUUUAGAAGUUAUCCUAGGGUGUAUACUUUCGAAAUAUCAAUUUGUUUUUUAGGCGAUCCAACCGUACGGAUCGUUAAUUAAGUAGUCAUAGUAGUUGUAUACCAAAAAUUAAAUCAAUAGGAUUUUAUCCGCUGAGAUAUUAUAAUGAAAAUAUGAUGUUAUACUUAAAUAUAGACGUAGGGUUAAUUUUUUACAAAAAAAUAAAUUUGUUUUUUAGGCGAUCCAACCGUACGGAUCGUAAAUUAAGUACUCAUCGUAGUUAUAUACCAAAAAUCAAGUCAAUAUGAUUUUAUUUGUUGAGAUAUUAUAACGAAAAUAUUAUGUUAUUCUUAAAUAUAGACGUAUGGUUGUUUUUUUUAUAAAAAAAUAAAUUUGUUUUUUAGGCGAUCCAACCAUACGGAUCGUAAAUUAAGUACUCAUCGUAGUUAUACCAAAAGUCAAGUCAAUAGGAUUUUAUUUGUUGAGAUAUUAUAGCGAAAAUAUUAGGUUAUACUUAAAUAUGAACGUAGGGUUAUUUUUUUUUAAAAAAAAUAAAUAAUUCAUUUAAAUGAUCCAACCGUACGGAUAUGAAUAAAAUUACUUAACUUUUAUUGGUCCUUAAAAUCAAUCAUUUUGAACAUUAGUUGAAGGAAUAUUAUAAUGAAAAUUAAUUUUUUAUAUAUUUUAUUUUGUAAAAUAAAGGUAGGUAUAUAUAUAAGUCCCUUCAAUUUUAACUUAAUGUUGUGGCUGGUCUGAUGGUUGAGCACUGUAAUUGACACUCAGGGGUCGCGGGUUCGAUUCCGCGUAUUUUUGGCUUUCCCGUGUUCUUUUUUCACGAAAAGUUAAACCCCCGCCCAGCUUAAACGACGUCGGUUUUGCGUGUAUACGGCGUCGUUCUCUUUUAUUUCGAUUAAAACCCUCCUAACAUCUCGAUCAGUUAUCUCCCCCAGCUCUCUCCUCUCUCUGGUCUCGUCCCCCAGCUCUCUCCCCUCUCUGGUCUCGUCUCUCUCAACUCUCUCUCUCUCGCAUCUCUCGGCUCUCUCUCUCUGUAACCCUCUCUCUCUGUAAGCUCUCUCUCAGCCUCUCUCUCCAUGUACACUAUAUGCUUAUUUUGGGGUUUAUCAUAAGGUUUAUACUUUAUACAUGUGUUAUAGUUUAUGCUCUAUAUGUAUAGUUUAUGGUCGUAUAUCUCUCUGUACACUAUGCUUAUUUUAGGUUUUUGAUUUUUUUUUUUGCUCUGAUUUGUUGUAAUUUGCUUUAAUCUGGUUCCUAUAUGUUUAUAUUUGCUUUAAUCUGGCUGAAGUUUAGUUGUUUUAGUUUUAUGAUCUGUUUAUAUGAUUCUUUUUGCUCUGUUUUUGUAUCUGGCCUAAUCUGUCAUGUGCUUGCUCUAUUUGUGUUUGUGUUUUAGUUGUUUUGUAUGUUUGUGUAUGGAUUUGUGGGUGUUUUGUGCACGUAAUUAAUAUGGGUGUUUGGUUUAAAGUAUUUGUGGGUGUUUUGUUAUUGAAUUUAUGUUAUUGUACUAUGGAUUACAAGCUUAUAACUAGCUAGGAUUGCCGUGUGUUUAAAGUAUUUGUGGUUGUGUACUUAAUUUACAACUACGAUCAAUAUAUAAAACUUGAAAGUGUAGUGAAUAAGUCUGAUUGUUAAGUGUUGGUUCAGAAUGAUUCCGUUAAGUCUGUGAUCGUUAUCAUGUCAAAAUACACUAGAGAGAAAAUUACAAUAAAGAGUUUGUAAGUACAAAUGUAAGUUAGAAAUCUCAGACCAAAUCAUAUGCCAAAGAGUUUGUAAGUACAAAUGUAAGUACAUUUGUGUUCUUGUCAAAAAUGUUAUUUCCCUGUAAUAUAAUAUACUGACAAUUUGUAAAAAUUGAAAUAAUAUAGUGAAGUGAGAAAGAGAAAGAGAAAACUCAGGCGUGACUUGAAAAAGUAUGUUUGUGCUUGUCAAUUUUUAACAUGGAGAUUUGGUUUGGUUUAUGUGGAACUUACUUUGUCAUGCAUGACUUGGUGUCUGUAAGUUUGAAAAUAAAAUUCAAACUAUGGAAAAUUACUUGAUAUGUUAAAAAUAUAUUGAUGAUAUUUGUGACUUUCUCUAAAAAGGAUUUCUUUUUAUGGAAACUAAGGAUUUGUAAUAUAAUAUAUAUUUGAUUUUUGUAUAGUCCAGUUGUUUAAUUAAUUUCCAAGAUAAUAUAUUGUGGCUUCCUGCGAUUUCUUUGUAGCAAAUUGUCUUUUGAUGUGUAUCAGGUUUUGCUCGAUUUGGGUUGAACUCUAUGUGUGCAGGUUUUUCCAAUAGUAUGUUAAUGCACCUAUUGCUUCUAGUAUUUUACACUUUAAUAAAUAAUUUUUCAAUUAGUAGUAGAUGCAUAUGCAGCAACUCUGAUAAGCUUACUGUUAAGUCUGAGUUCAAUGAAAUGCUGCCACAUCAGCAUAUGCCAGCUGGCUAAGUUUGUUAGGCUGAUUAGUUAGUUACAAGUUGCACGAUUGUGGGUGUAUAUUGUUGCUUCUUUUCUAUUCUGUAAAAAUAGUUCUCAGUUCUAUUUGCUCAAGUAAUGAAAUCUCUCUGUUUCUCUCCUCUUUUAUGCUGUUAGCUACAUUUUGUAACAACCUCCAACACGCCUUUCUAUAUAUAUCAGUACAAUUGACUAUAUAGUUAAAAGAUGAUCUGCUGAAUUAUAGCUAUUAGCAUAGAUAUUAUGAUCUUCAGGACUAAUGUUGAAACUUGAAACUAAAACCACUCUAGACUUGCAAGGAAUUAAGGAUCAUGCAGUGUUCUGCGAAUUUGUUGGACAGCUGAAAUAUUUGUUAAUAAUUCUUACUAAACUAUUUCACAAAUUCUGAGCCUAUCGAUAACAUCUGAGUAAUUAACAAAUUUAACCUAUAAGAUCGAUGAGGAACGAAGCAUCAAUUAGUUCCCAUCUCCAUUUUUCACCCUCAUUGACAAUUUGCUAGCAAACUUGCUUAAAUGUUCUUUGUCCCUAGACAGAGGUAAAACAAGCCUCUGUCAAGCUCCUAUCUUUAACCUGGAACUAAAACUCACUAGGUUUCCUGUUUUAUUAAUCCAGAUAAAGAAUCCAAUGAAGUUAUCGAUCCUAAAGGCCCAAAGUAGUAGAAUUCAUUUCAAUUUAUAACUAUAUAUAUAGAAUGUAAUGGACUAUGCAAUCAAAUAAUAUUUAAAUCUUAUGAGAGAGCUGAAUACAAACCACAUAUCAAAGCAUGACAAUAUAAAUGACAAUUUUCAUUGAUAACUAUAUUAUCUCUUACUAAAGCAGUGUGCAUGACAUGUAUUCAUGCUCUUCUAAUAGAUGUUGCUUCUUACAGAACAGGGCCUGAUUUUUGAAUAGUUCAUCAGUUUUCCCUUGUAUCUGCUUCAUUUCACUUUUUGUUUAAUUUUCUAAUGCAUUUAUAAUUUAAUAUAUACAUGUGGCCUGGUAGCAAUAAGUUGUUAUGAAUCUGCCGUGGUUGUUUCAUUGACUAACAUAAGUUGACUAACUAUAUAUAUCAUUGUUCAUGUAUAGGCUAUGGCGCCAAAAAAGACAAAGGCAAAAGGAAUGGCUAUUUCUCAAAGGAUGAUAAUGGUGAUUGCGAUGAGGAAGAUUGAAAUGAAGCUACCUAGCUAGAUGCAUUAUUGGUAGGGAUGCUGAUUUUGUUAAAACAUUGCUUUUGUCUUUUGAUUGUUCAGCUGUAACGUAUAUGAUUGUUGGCUUUUGCUAGCUUUUGGCUGAUUGUUUAGCUGUAACAUUUAUGUCGUACAUAAUUUUAUAACUGUCCUUUUGUAAAUAUAUGAAUGCUUGUUGGCUUUUAAAUUAUGUUGUACUGAAUUUUAAUGGAUAUGAUUCUUUAUUUUGGUUUUGAAAUUGGAUAUUGUAUGUGCAUUGUUGGUUUGGUAAAAUAACAGGGAUAUGGUAUAGUUUAUAAUGUAAAUACUGCAAUUUUUUGAAAUUUUAUCUCCAGAAAACCGACCAAAUUUGAUCAUUUCCGACCAAGAAUGGUAAAAAAGAACCCAGAAAACCAACCAGAUGUAUACAUUUCCGACCAAAUUCAUAUCCUAAAACCCAGAAAAACGGCCAACUCAUUUCUGACCAACUCAUUUCUGACCAGAUGUAUGCAAUUUGGGUGGUCGGUUUUAGCCCAGAAGCUCCCCCAAUAGACCCUGAAAGCCAUUUCCGACCAACUCAUUUCCGACCACUGGGUGGUCGGUUUUAGCCCAGAAGCUCAUCCAAUGGACCCUGAAAAGGCAUUUCCGACCGACUCAUUUCCGACCACAAUGUGGUCGUUUUUACAACUGGGCCCCACAGCUGAGCCCUGAACUUCUUUACCGACCAACACAUUUCCGACCGUCAUUGGUCGGUUUUGAGACAAUCCACGUGUAUGACACGUCAACAGUGGGCCAGAUUUAUCUGAUACAAUCCACGUGUACAUGGACAUGGCAACACAUUUCCGACCGACAGAAUUGGUCGGUUAUAUAACUCAUUUCGGACCGAUACGUCAUUUCCGACUCGGUUUAAAGGGACCGACGUGGUCGGUCGGUCGGUGGUCGGAAAUGACCUCAAAACCGACCGAUUUUGCUUAUUUCCGACCGAUUUUGGCGGUCGGAAAUGCCCGCUUUUCUUGUAGUGAGAUAAUUCAAGAGAAUUACAAAUUAACUUAUUUUUAACAAAUUAGUCUGUAUAAAUUUGAGUCAUACGGAUGGAUUUGAGUUAUGAUGCAAUUGAAUAUUUGAAUCCAAAUUAGUCUGUAUAAAUUUGUUACGUUUUCCAGUAUUUGAUUCUAAGCGCAAAUUAUAAGCUUUAGCGAGAAUUACUGACGCCCCUAAACCGAUCGAAUAGUGCUUCGUUUAUCUAGUGAGUUUAUUUCUUUUAGCUAGUGAAUCUUAUCUUCUAAUGAAAUUAACAUCGAUCGCGAAACUUUAUGAGAUAAUAGGCCUCCCGAGUCAUAUAUAUUUAAAACUAAUUGUUGUGGUAAUAAUUUGUAGUUGUCACUAAUCAAUUACAGAUAAAUAAUGAAUGAUUACGAGAACAAUUGGCGUGGUCUAUUUAGGAACCUCAAUUUCAUUUGAGAUUUUAGAUUUGAACAAAUAAUAUGUUUUGAAAUAUGGAUUUGAAUUUUAUUUGAAUUGUCAUUUGAUCUCAAUCAUUUGAAAUGAAACGCAAAUUUUACUGUUAUUAAUGUAUGUAAGUUUAGAAAGAACAGUAGUUAAUGACGUGUCAUGAGCAAAUCUUUGCAUGCAGAAUAUAUAAGUCCUUGAAAACACGUCCAUGCAUGUAUAACUUUUGCUAGAUAGCAACAGUAAAUGUGUAAUACAUGGAUAACUCAUACACUGAUUUAUUACAGCAUAUAGUACUACUUGCUCAUAACCUAUUUUAGCCGAAACAUAAGAGGUAAUGAGCUUAUAGAUACAUACACUCGUAACAUUAUUAUUUUCAGCAGUUCUUAUUUAUUGUAAUUACACUACAUGACGUCUUAGUUUCCGGUAUUCUCAACUGGAGGGUGUCCAGGGUGGUGACCGUAUGGAGGAUUAGGCUUAUGUGUAGGCGGUGGCCUCACGACGAUUGGUGGCAAGUGUGGUGGCUUAUGUUCUGGCACAGGCUUCUCAGUCUUCGGUGGUUGGUACACCGGGCUCGGCUUGUGCUCCCCUGUCGCUGGCUCGUGAACCGGAGGUUUAUGCUCUGUUGGUGGCUUGUGAACCGGUGGCCUGUGAAUCGGUUGUGGUUUAUGAAUAGGAUGGGCCGGGUAAUGAUCAUCGGUUAAGGAGGGAGUGUUGUGAACCGGUGGUUUGUGAAUUGGUGGCUUGUGAACGGGUGGUUUCUGCUCUGGUGCUGGCUUCUGAACAGGUGGUUUGUACACUGGUGGCUUGUGAAUAGGGUAAUGAUCUUCAGUCACGGAGUUGGUUGCUUCCACCGGAGGUUUAUAUUCGGAAGGUGGUUUGUGAACGGGUGGUGUAUAAACUGGUGGCUUGUGAACGGGUGGUGUAUAAACGGGAGGCUUGUGAAUUGGUGGUUUGUGAACGGGUGGUGUAUAAACGGGAGGCUUGUGAAUUGGCGGGUGAGAAUGAAAAUCGGCUAGGGAUGGAGCUGCGAAAAUCGCAACUCCUAAAAUGAGGAGUAGGUUCAUGUGUGUGAGAGACAUCUUGAUAACCGACGAGGUGAGAGUGUUGAUGUUGUAUUUUCCUCAUGCAGUGAUUGGGUUUUUAUAGGAGUUGAUGGACACUGUUCGGCUGGAUUGAUCGUCAACAAGUUUGAAUUAUUUUGCUUUUAGACGUAGAGGAUGUAGAGAAUUUCAACAUUGAGAUUAGGACAUGUUGAAAAUAUUGAUGCUUGUUGUUUUUAUUCAUGAAAAAGAUGAGGUUUGCUUAUAGUACAGUUGUGUCGAAAUAUUGGACUGCAUAUCAAAGCUUGCCACGUCCAUCCUAGGACACUGAUCAUAAAAUCUGAACAGAUAUGAAAAUCAAGAAAAUUGAAAGAAAACAUUUGAACUCGGGCGCCAAAGAAAUUUUACUAUGUAGAACUUAUCAUUUUUCAUAUAUUAUUUAACAAAAACCGACUUGCAAAAUAGCAAGUGAAUUAGGUGAUAUGCUCAAGUACGCACAGAAGAGUGAGGGAACCGACAGAAUUUUGGCUGUAUGCAUGAAUGUGAAACUGGGACUAGUCAGUGAGGACUGAGGAGUGUCUAAUUGUCAAAAUAAACGACUAGGAUUACUGACCACAUAUCUAUACCAUACAGUAUAUAGGUACGAAGAAGACAAAAUAAGAAAAAAUCACAUGGACAAACACCGGAGCCUAGUGCUGUAAUCCGAUCCGGGCAGCUCGCGAGCUCGCCCGGCUCGAACUCGUUUUAAUGGGCUCGGCUCGGCUCGUUUAGUUAAUCGAGCUCGAGUUCGGGCAGAGGUUUUGGCUCGUUUUGUUAAACGACUCGCCCGACUCGUUAAACUCGGCUCGUUUAACUAAACGAGCCAGCUCGACUCGACUCGUGAAAAUAAACGAGUCGAGUUCGGGCAAAGGUGUAGGCUCGUUUUCUUAAACGAGCCGGCUCGGCUCGACUAAAUAAAACUCGGCUCGAAUUAUGCCCGGCUUGAAACUCGGCUCGCCCGGACCGAAUAACAACCCUACCGGAGCCUGUUGUGCUGGCGUAAACACAAACAGGCUCAAACAUCUUCAACGGAUUAAAAAUUACGAAUGUUAUACUUUUAUACAGGAAAAAAAAUCCUAAAAAUAAGUAAUAUAACCAUACUUUAUUGAAGCACUAAAAUCCGUUUCGCGCUCUCGUGUCCCCAUGUAUACUAUUGGCUGGACGGAGAGAGUAAUUUUGAUCAACUAAUUAAUCAUGUGAUACCCUAAAUUAUAAUUUUGAUUAAUAAAUUAGUCGUGUAAUAUCUUAAAUUAUAAUUUUGAGCUAUGUCAAAAAUUUGUUCCAGUAAAGUUCUUAUUCAUUUCUAAACAUAAUAUAAUUGAAUACCAUCAGAUUUUAAAGUAUAAUUUAAAUUUUCAAUUAAACACUCGUAGAUUAUGUUACAUUUUUAUAAUCUGAAUCAAAUAUCCUCAGAUUUCAUGAAUGAAAAAUAUAUUUUAAAAUUAUAAUUGAAUACAACCCAUAAGUUCAGCGUAAAUGUAAAACUUACAUGAGGUUAGUGUAAAUGAUUCAUCCCGGAUAUUUGAGAUAACCAUUAACCAAACUAGUUGCAGAAGUGAUGAUACGACAUCAAUAUAAAAUUUAAAUUUCAUUUGAAUCUGUAUUUGAUCAAAUAAUAUAUUUGAAUAUAUAAGGACGAAUUUGAAUUUUAGUUGAAAUUCAGAAGAUCCAAAUGCUAGUAUAAAGUUGAAAAUAUGAAAUGACUUAAAAUUAUGUCAUUUGAAAUAAAAUAGAUAUUUCAGAAUACAAUCUUAAAGAAUUAUGCGAUCUUUUGCGGACUGAAAAACCAAGGCAGCCUAUUGCUGUCAAAAAACAGAGAGCUCAAACAUGGUUGGAUUCCCAAGUUGAAGUCUUUUGAUAGUAGAUGAUAGCAUUUCCUUGUGGCAGGUAAAUGGAAUUUGUGAAAAUUGAUCUUUCUCUUCUCUCUGUGUCUUGGCUCAAAGGCUGCUGCCAGCUUGACUCAACUCUGUGAUAUAUAGUAAAUUUGAAUUAAAGAGGAAUAAUAAAAUGUUGUCAAGUAGUGUUUUCUUUCUCUUUUCUGUUUGUCAAAACUUAAGAGUUGAGAACAAAAUUGAUGAGAAGAAAUUAAAAUCUUAGAGUUGAUAUCCUCAUCCCAUUAAGAUCCUUGUUCACGAACUUUAAAUAGAACUGCUGCAACAAAUUCAUACUAUUCAUUCAUCAAAUCCUACGUUGAAUUCAAACAAAUUUGAACUACAGCCCUCAUCAAUUUAGGAAUGAAUAGUUCCCAUCUCUACUUAUCUUCUUUGCUGAAAAAUUUGCACUCUUUUAACACUAAAAACUAAAUUUACCACCUGAUUUUAUUGGUACCAACCUAGCUAAAGAUACACACUUUCCUAACACAACUAGCUGAUAAUAAGAACAAGAGCAUAUGAAAUAAAUAGUACUCCCUCCGUCCCUUUUUACUUGUCCCUUUUGGAAAAAAAACGCAUCUUAAGAAAAUGUUAGUUGGAUAUCUUGUUUUCAUACAUAUCCCUAAUAAAUGUAAUGAAUUAGAUAGAGUUGUGUGUAUAUAUAUGUUAGUCAAACAUUGAAAGUUGUUACUUUUUGAAAAAACAUACAAAAAGUUGCUUUGAAAAGAGAAGUGGACAAGUAAUUUGGGACAAUUUUUUUUUUCAAAGUGGACAUAUAAAAAGGGACGGAGGGAGUAUGCUACUGAGCUAUUCCCUUGAGCUGAAGAGCCCACUCUACCCGAGCAACGGUUGGGCUCACCCAGAAUCCCAACAGCUUCACUUCCUCUGGAUUUUCUUCAGGACGCAGUGCGACAGAAUGCACUUUCAACGAUAGAUUAAAAUCAUAUAGAACAGUGUUAAGUAUGAAGCUGUUUAUGUGACACCCAAAUUGAGUUGGAAAAAAAAAAGGAGUAAACAUGCUGCAUGAGCAAACAUAACCACUUACAUCCUCCGCAUUACAGGACGAAAAUAGUAUCUUUACGGAAACCUAACUGUGCCAAUUCCAGAAGUACGAAACUGAAAGAAAUAUGAGCUCCAGCUAUGAACAAUGGAAAACCACUUACCCUACCUGUUUGCCUGAACUAGUCUCCGCAUCUAUUUCUACAUGGCUUUGCUGCUUCAGAUCAGAAGAUACUGAACACGAUUGUGGAACUGAAAAGGAAGUCAUGCUGCAAGUUGCUUGUUUCUUUGCGGAAGAGGAUACAGCUGUGGAACACAAGUCAUCAUCUAUCUUUGAAGUCUCGCCUUCACUGUUACUGAUUUGCAUGUUCCGUUGAUGUUGUUCUUCUUCAAGAGGUAGUAAUCUCUUGCGACUAGAGAAGCCAUUCUUGAAAUUUUGCAUGGAAGGUACCUGUUGGUCGUGGGAGGAGGCCGCAGAGCAAGGAGCCUUCUCCUUUAGAACAACCUUUGGAAUCACUAAAUUGUCAAUGCAAUCAGAGUUAUCACCAACUUCAUCAGUCCCAUCAGAUUUCUCUGCUCUUGCAACAGCUUCUCUCUCCCUCAUGAUCAAUAAAGCCUCAGUUAGGCGUUCUCUUGCUAAAUCGAUAUCAACAAUAGGCACUGGAUAGUUUAAUCCCAAUUCCACUCCUGCAGAUCUAAGUACACUAGGAGGUGCAUCCCAAGGAUGAUGAAUCCACUCGGAGGGCAUCCUUGCUAGUUCAGGCAGCCAUUGCCUCACAUAUUCACCCUCUGGAUCAAAUUUAAAUCCCUGAACCUGGAUCGUAAUUGAAGAACAAUUAAGAUCUGAGGUCUCAACAAAAAGCAGUGUAAAAUUACUUCCAUCUAGUAAGGUAUAGCUCAGUAUAGCAUCAACAACAAAGUGACUUAUUUUUAUAAGUAUCCUACUUGAUAUUAGUAUUUUCAAUAAGCUUAUUUGAAUCCCCCAUGACAAAAAAGAGAAGCAAUCACCAUAGUACCUUCAAGCUUUCUGUAACUCAAAAAUAUAUUUUCCCUCCCAUUUAGUUAUCUCCUCAGGCAUGAGUCUCAUAAGGAAACUCUUCAUUUGAAAAGAUUUUCUUUCAGUGCAAAAAUGUAACUAUACAAGGCAGAAGUGUCAAAGAAGAUCAGUCAAUUUAAUUGUAUACGGAUUCAGUAUAAAGGAUUAGAAAACAACACACUGUCAAACCAUUCUGAAAUUGUGAGUGCCUGUUCUUCCAAAAAUGAUUUUAUUAUAACAAACUUACGAUUCAUCUCUUAAAAACACUACAACCCUUCAAUAAUCAAAAAAUCAGAAACCUGACAUAAACUAAAACUAUACAUGUGAUAUUUCUUUGUGCUAAUUAGGCAUACUUACUUAAUUUUUCAAUAUAUACACAAUAGGAGCAUUGUAAAAUAUAGCCUGUAUAGGAAGGGAAUUAACGUGUACCUGUGGGCUAUCUAGACGCUCAAGCUCAUGUCCAUCUGGCAAGCUACCUGAUAUGUACUGCCAGCCAAGAAUAUCAGUUUCCAAAUCUGAGUCCAGAAGGGUAUCCCAGAAAUAUUUCAUUCCCCAUUGCCAUGGUAGAAGCAAAAACUUUACAAAAAACCCAGAAACAAUCACUCUUAUCCUAUUGUGCAUCCACCCAGUUGCCCAAAGCUCUCUCAUACCUGCAUCAACUAAUGGAUAACCAGUACGACCCUGUCUCCAAGCCUUAAAAUGGGCUUGAUCUGCUUUCCAGGGGAAAUACUUUAGGUUGCUCAGCAAUGAUCUUUCAUGAGUAAAUGGGUAGUUAAAACAAAUGUAGCGAGAAUAUUCUCUAAAACCUAUAGCCCGAAGAAACAGUGAAACACUUUCUUGUCCAACACAAUUCCCUUCUUUUGCCCACAGUAAUUGCUUCAUGCGCACACACUGGAAUACUCUCCUCACACUCAUUUCCCCAAAAUGAAGAUAUGGUGAAAAGAGCGACGUUGUGUUCCCUGCAACUGUUGCCCUCUCCUUUGAGUAGUCGAUCAGAUUUUCUUCUACGAAUGCCGAUAGAGCCUUAUCAGCAUUGCUCCAACCAGGAGACCAUCCUCUUCCUAAUAAAGCAUUGCUAGCUUUUUCCAUUUCAUUUUCAAGCCCCAGAUCAUCAAUUGAGCAAUUGUCUACUAUUCCUGUCAUUUGCACAUUGGAAUCCACACUUAAAUUGCGCAGCUAUAUACUGAGUUUAUUUUAUCUUCUUCUAAUGCUAUAAUACUCUAUUGCUUUAGGAAUACAAUUAUGUAUCAUCAUGAAUUUGUCCAUAUUAUGGCUGGCAAUGGGGUCAAAAUUUAAUUAGAAGAAAGCAUGCAAAUUUGACAAGAUUGCACAGUGAGAGUACCUUCAACAGGAACUAAUCGCCAUGGAGGAAGAUGUGAAUCGGGUUCUUUUUGCAUGCUUAAGCACCUCGUCCAGUAUGCAUCAAAGGUUGUAAAGGCAUGUCCUUCAUUAUCGUAUAUUUCCCAUGGUUCAUACAAUAGAUCUCCAUUGUAGCUUUGCACUGAUAUACCAAGCUCCCCAAGCUUUUGUUUGAUAGUGUGAUCUCGAACAAGUGAAACAGGAUCUGGAUAAUAAUUAAAAAGCCAGAGACAAUAAGAUAAACCUAGAGACUGCAAUUUGUUGGGAGGGGGAUAUGUACUACACUUUUUGAUGUCAUAGUAAGCAAUUGAGCUUCUAUAUAAACAGUAUUCUGUAUUUAUGUGCAUGUCAAGACAGAUGCAUGAAUAACAUAUGCUUUCUAGUUGAAGGCUUACAAAAUACUAUUCUCUUCUUCAUAUGAUAUGACCCACAAACAAUGCACUUCAGUAACAGUGUGCAUACACCAUAAUAUGCUUAAGCAACUUCGAUUUGAAAUUAAUUACUUGAGACUCCACAAUGCACUGUUUUUAGUGUGUAUGAUUCGUUAGGAGCACAUGUUACUGCAGCACUUAUUAGGCUAUAUCUCAUACAUUUCCAUUCAAAUCCCAUGUUUGUUUAAAAGUUUAGUAUCACUUCUGCAUAAUUGAUAUCUGUAUAAGCUCGUAUGCUAUUAUACAGUUAUACCCUCUCCUUGUGACCUUAACUACAAAGUCUUUCCGGAUAAAUAUGUUCAAAGCAAUAGAUUACAACUCACCUUAUAAUAGGAAAUAUAUGCUCUCUAGUCUAUGAGAUUAGUGUGAUCAUGUUUUCAUGCCAAGCUUCGGACAUUUAUCAGGUCUUUUUAGUAAAUUCAAUCACCCUACUUUAGCAUUCUAGCAUUGUAGGAGAUUCGUAGAGUUAGUGAGUCAUCAUAUUUCACAAAGUUUAUGUAAUCUAGCCAUUAGUUGAGGUCACAGUAUCACACAAAAUAUAUACACAAAUGCUAGAUGAAGUGAUAACUUUACUAUACAUAUGUUGAAAUCAAAACAACCAAGUCAUAACAAAAAGAUAGUUCAGGACUUUGAUCUCAUAUAUGAAUCGAAUAACAAUUUGUUGUCAAGGCUCAGUCUUAGAGUAUGUUACCGCACUUAAGUUCCAUAGCAAGAAGGGAAGUAUAGACUUCUAUAACUAGAGGCUGAACCAAGAGGUUUUUCUCUUAAAACUUUUUGCAAAUUCACUAAAUAUAAAGAAGCUCAAGUGAAGCUUUCUGCAAAGACCUCCUUUGAUCAUUAGGCAUCUUGAACAAUCAUUAUUUUAUCGAACAUGAUUUCUAUGUUUUGAAGGAUGCUAUAUGGAAAAGUGAAAGUAACUACUCACGAGUUAAGAGUUAACACUACUUAACAUGACUUCUCCUAAAAUUAGAGUAUGUAAUGAAACUUUUAUCGCACUAGAGUAAGAAGUUUUUUUCACAGUAAGAAGGGAAGUAUAUACUUCUGUAACUAGAUGCUGAACCAAAUUUUUUUGUUUGUGAGCCGUUUGAAAAUUUUAUGAAUAUGUAGCAAGGACAAGCUUUCUCUAAAGUCCUUCUUUGAUCACUUGGUAAAUUGAGCAAAUAUAUUACAACAUGAAACACAAUUUGGUAUGACUUUUCUUCUACCAUGUUUCAAGGGAUCCUAUCUGAGAAAGUAGUUAAUCACCAGAUUAGCCAUUAUUAAUCUGUGAUAGCCCUUGACCUAGAUAAUUAAGCUCCUGAUCAUUAUUUGAAGGAAAACAAAACCGAAAAAGAAUAAGGAUCAUACCAUAAAGAUGGUUAUAGGCUAUUUUUGUUGCCCCAACAGCACUAAUGCAUUCCAGAAGAGCUUUUAAAGUGCUCCGAGCUUUUAUUAAAAUAAGUUUAGCCCCAAGAGACUCAAGUGACUGCUGCAGAUGUAUGAGAGAUUGCUUGAGCCACCACCUCGAAACCCUUCCCGGGUAGAAUUGCCCUUCUUCCUGUGGACACCAUAUAAAAACAGGCAGAACAGAACCAUCUCUAGCAGCUGCAGCUAAGGCUGGAUUGUCAUCGAUCCGGAGAUCCCUCCGGAACCAAACAAUGGUCUUGCCAUCAGUAUCCAUCGUGUUAAGUGACCAGUUCUCCUAAUCCCGACGAAAAGAUCUUAUUAUAUCAUCAACACGUCAUAAAUUGUGUUAAGUUACCAGUUCUCCUGAUCCGACGAGGAGAUCUUAUUAUAUCAUCAACACGAUCAUCAUUUCAUGCAGCAAACUUGACGAUACUCAACAAGUAAACAAUUAUAUAAACUCUAAAGGCAAAAGAGAGAGAGCAACAAAUAAAGAGAAACAGCACUACGUAGCAACCAUAAUAAUUGGAAUAACGAAUUUGUAGCAGACAGGAGGAUUGUGUGACAUGUGACAAAGUUGCAGAAAUCUGAAAAAACAAACAACUCAAGAUCCCAACACAUAUGGUAAAAAAUAAUAUCCACACAAUGGAAGGACCACCACUAACAAGUUGACAAGAAAAAAACAAAUAAAGUAAGAGGUAUAUGUCCCAUGUGUGUUUUAUUGCAUAGAAAAUGACAGCAAAAAUAGGUGAAUAAUCCUCAUGAGUCAUGGGUCGAUGCCGAGACUACCCCCACUUGAUCACCAUCUUCUACUGUACAAUCUUCUUUGAGCAUUUUACUCUGCCCAUCUUUAUUUGGACACUUGCUUACACUAGUUAGCACUUGGCACUAGUGCUCUAAUAUUAAAUUGACUACCUGUAUAUGUCAUGUGAUAUUGCAACUUUAUCAUUAACGGGACGUACCUAAACCCGACUUCUGCUUUUAUAAGUUUGAAAAAGGAUUUAUUCUUUCGUUUGUAUAAAACGUCAAGAGUAAUUAUAAAAACUAGUAUCAUAAUUAUACCGUAAAUAUAUACAACAUUUUAUGCAAAAGCUAUGAUAAUAUUAUAAUUUUUCUUGAGAUAAAUAAUUUUCACAAGUAGAAACUAAUUUCGGUAUCAAUCUCAAUUUUUUUGUCAGGGUAUUAGCCUCAAUUUAAACAGAAAAUUUUUGUUAGUUUGUAAAAAUUAUAUUUAGAGGGUUCUAAUUUUAUGCUACGAUAUUUAUACUCUGAAAAAUAGAAGUCAGCGACUAUUCUAAUUUUGCUAUGGUUGUUCUGGCAAAACGUGUCAAUCUAAGCAACUGCAAAUUGCUGAAUCUUAUGUCGGUGACAGAGUCUCUCUAUGUCGGUAAAAAUAGGAAAUGUGAAUGAAGAGAAGUAGUACGAGUGUGAUGAAGGAUUAUCUCAAUCACGUGGGUGCCCCAGAUUAUCACGUGGGCUUGUUGGAUUCUUGUGAAACAGGUACACUCAAAUAAAUUAUGCCCAUGCCCUUUUGUCCCGUCAAAUAUAAAAUCAAACUGCACCAUAAAUCUUAAAAAAGUAAUUUUGUAAUUGUAUUCACAGUACUGGCCUCUCCUAGCGGUAAAAUUUAUCUAUGUAUAAGUACAUGUAUGACUGUAUGAGUAUGAACCAAUUUGAUUGGUUCAAAAUAACGUUCUUGGAAUAAUUUAAAAUAAAAGUUGAUGCCUUUUUAAUAUUCUGACGAAUUACCCAAAUGAGCGGUUAAGCAACAAUGACUGAAAGUUUCAGAGUAUCAUAUUGGAUGAAAAGGAGAUGUAUCAUAGGGGCCGUUUGGCUAAACUUAAAAAAAGUGAUUUUUUACUUAAAGUAAAGAAAUGGAGGAGAAGUGAGAAGUAAAAAAGUUAAUAAAGUGUUUGGAAAACAAGUAGAAGCUGUGAGAGAGAAGUUAGCAUUCUUAGCUUCUUAAAAGUGCUUCUGCUUCUUUACACAAACGGGUCAAGAAAAGUAGAAACCAGAAGUAGAAGCUACUUCCACUUCCCAAAGAGGCCCAUAUACUCGACACGGGCAUUUUAAUAAAAUAUACUCCCUCUGUCCCUUUGAAAAGGAGAUGUAUCAUAUACUCUCUUCCCGUGAUUAGUAUACAGUGACACGGGCAUUUUAAUAAAAUAUACUCCCUCUGUCCCUUUAUUUAUACUCUGAAAAAUAGAAGUCAGCGACUAUUCUAAUUUUGCUAUGGUUGUUCUGGCAAAACGUGUCAAUCUAAGCAACUGCAAAUUGCUGAAUCUUAUGUCGGUGACAGAGUCUCUCUAUGUCGGUAAAAAUAGGAAAUGUGAAUGAAGAGAAGUAGUACGAGUGUGAUGAAGGAUUAUCUCAAUCACGUGGGUGCCCCAGAUUAUCACGUGGGCUUGUUGGAUUCUUGUGAAACAGGUACACUCAAAUAAAUUAUGCCCAUGCCCUUUUGUCCCGUCAAAUAUAAAAUCAAACUGCACCAUAAAUCUUAAAAAAGUAAUUUUGUAAUUGUAUUCACAGUACUGGCCUCUCCUAGCGGUAAAAUUUAUCUAUGUAUAAGUACAUGUAUGACUGUAUGAGUAUGAACCAAUUUGAUUGGUUCAAAAUAACGUUCUUGGAAUAAUUUAAAAUAAAAGUUGAUGCCUUUUUAAUAUUCUGACGAAUUACCCAAAUGAGCGGUUAAGCAACAAUGACUGAAAGUUUCAGAGUAUCAUAUUGGAUGAAAAGGAGAUGUAUCAUAGGGGCCGUUUGGCUAAACUUAAAAAAAGUGAUUUUUUACUUAAAGUAAAGAAAUGGAGGAGAAGUGAGAAGUAAAAAAGUUAAUAAAGUGUUUGGAAAACAAGUAGAAGCUGUGAGAGAGAAGUUAGCAUUCUUAGCUUCUUAAAAGUGCUUCUGCUUCUUUACACAAACGGGUCAAGAAAAGUAGAAACCAGAAGUAGAAGCUACUUCCACUUCCCAAAGAGGCCCAUAUACUCGACACGGGCAUUUUAAUAAAAUAUACUCCCUCUGUCCCUUUGAAAAGGAGAUGUAUCAUAUACUCUCUUCCCGUGAUUAGUAUACAGUGACACGGGCAUUUUAAUAAAAUAUACUCCCUCUGUCCCUUUAUUUCUUUACGGUUACUAUUUUGGGAUGUCUCUUUCAUUUCUUUGGGUUAUUAUAAUUAAUAAAUUUUUUUCAUCAUUACACCCACUACUUUCCUCCACUAUCUCGAAUCUAUUAUUAAAUAUUAAUAGGUCCCACCAUUUUACCCAUUUUUUGUCUAACUUUACUCAUUUUUUAUACAUUGUCUUGGUCUCCGUGUCCCCCUCCAAUAUAAACAAUUGACGGGGACGGAGGGAGUAAUUUUAUAAUUUUUUUUAUAUUUUACAUUUUUGGGUAAGAUGUAAUAUUUAAAUUGAUAUUAAAAAGAAAUUUAAAAAUAAGUUAUAUACUAUACCUACAAAAAUAUUAAAAUUAAAUCUUUAUCGAAUAUUGAAAAAGAAAAUAGGAGUAUGUAUUUUGUUGAAAGUUGUUUCAAACAAAACUGAGGUAUAGAAAUAACCAAACUGACAGCAAGUUCAAAUUCUAAAAUCUUGACCAAUUAUUCUGAAUAUUAGUUUAGGCCUCCGGGCGAGCACAAGUUAAUAUUACAUAAAAUUUACUUUCUCAGUAAUUUGUAAUUAUUAUUUUCUAUAUUUUAAUAUGUAAUUUAAUUUAAUUAUCUAUAUUUACAUUUAUUCAUAUCUUUAAAACUUUAAUAGGAAUCAAAUCUUAAAUAUUUAUCUAAAUUUCGGUUCACAUGUGAGUUGAAAAUUUUAACAACUGCGGUGAAAAGAAAUGAUAAGUUUUACCUUCAGGCAGAGAACAUAGGCAUCUACGGCUUGCAGCGAAGGAGGAGGGGAAAAAAAGGAAGGAGAGAGAAAACAAAUGUAUUUUAAUUAUUUUUAAAAUUUAAUAUAAAAUAUCGAAUUCUAAUAAUUUUAGACAUUAAUAGUUAUUUUCAUCUUCAACAACAUUUUUAUGUUCAUUAUUAUGUAACAUUUUAUCAUGAAAAGAUAUUAUUAUUACAAAAAAUGAAAAGUGAGAGUGUUUAUUCACAGGGGCCAUUUAGACAUUUAAAAAAGAUGACUUCUUACUUAAAAUAAAGAAGUGUAUUCGAAGUGAGUGGUAAAUAAGUUAAUAAAAUUUUUGGAAAAAAAGCCUCUGUGAGAUUCAGAGAUAUGUUAGCAUUCUCAGCUUGUUAAAAGUGCUUCUGCGUAUUUACACAUAUGGGUUAAGAAAAACAGAAGCACGGACGCAGCAACUGCUUCAGUGUUAAACAAACAAGGCCUAUAUAUACUACGCUGUGUGAUAGAAUAUAUUUUAAAUAUAUUCUAGAUGAUUUUAUUCUCAUAUUUAAUUGUAUUUUGCAUUGAUUUGGAUAAUUAUUUAAUAGAUUUUAAUGUUUUAUUGUAAAGUGCAAGGAAUUCCUAAAGUUGGAAAGAUUUGAAGAAAUGAAUCUUAAUUGGACACAAAUUUGGAUGGAAAUUCGGAUUUAUUGGGCUACACAUAUUAUUUCGCUGUUUUGGCCAUAUCUGGAGUUCCGUACAUCGGAUUUUGAUGAUCUUACAGCCCACGCGAAGCUUAGAGAAUUUUCUUCAAUUCAGAGAUGGUCCAAUAUCCAAAACCCAACUGGAAAAGCCCAGAAACUGUGGAGAAAACAGACCUACGAAUUUUAAUUACAGAAUCCUAUUCGGUUUCGGAGGCUGCCUUGUAAAUUCAUUAAAGCAUUAAAAUACUUUUAUUCUAGGAGAUCAAUAUUAGUUUUUAUCAGAGAUACAUAGAUAGAGAUAUAGAGAGAAGAUAAGAGACUUUUACUUUUCUUCUUGUUCAAGAUUUGAAGAUUGAAAGUUUUUCUUCUAUUCUUAAUAAUAGUUUAAUUAUGCGUUUUUAUUACAUCUUGUGUUUUGUUAGUUUAAUUAUGAGUGAGUAGAUCUAUAAUCCGGGGUUAAGUUGAACCCUAACUAUGAUAGAUGCAUGAUUCUCCCACCCCAAACUGAUUGUUUAAUUGCUCUUGCUUAUUGAGUUGUGCUGAUUAACAAUUACAUGUCAGGCAUGAUUAUGUGAUUUGUUUGAACCAAUAUCUAUUUACCUUCAGAAGUUGGACUUAGAUGGUUGUGAUUUAUCCAAUAAGGACAUGAAAUUCUCCAUGGAAAUAGGUAGAAUGGAUUGUUAGGAAGCCAGGAUGUUGUGUUUAAUGUCUCUAAAUUGCAUGAUACCAUGGAAAUAGGCUUGAUUGUAUUGUUAGAGAAGCCAUUAAUACUCGGAAGAGGUUAAUGGUAUUUUAUAGGGCGCAUCUUUCCUCUUGAGUAAUAUAUUUGAUUGAUUGGGGUAGGGAAUCGUAAUUGCAUUGAUUCAUGCUAGUGGGGAUACUUAAUUCUGGAUGUUUUUAAUUAAUUGAUAAAAUCCUUAUUUGCCUUAGUAUAAUUAGUUUAAUAAAUCUCAAAAUAUUAUUGUGUUCUUUGAUUAGUUGAAAUUGGUCAGAAAUAACUAGUGUUUGACACAUUUGUCUCUGUGGGAUCGACUCUGACUUGCCCUGCUACAUUGUUAGGAGGAAUUGUUAGAAUUAUUAUUUGAUAGGUAUACGACAGCCUUGUCACUUGGCUCUUGCAUUCAUCAGAUUAAGNNNNNNCUUUUAAGAGUUAAUUGCAUUUGGCACCUCUUUAAUUUCAGCAUGUUGCACAUUGCACCUAAUAGUUUUGGAAUAAACACUAUGCAGCCCCUUACUUUUAACCGGUAGACACUUUGCACCCUUUCCGUUAUCUUCUGCCGUUCCCGUUAACUCUUAAAGGGGCAUUUUGGGAAAUUUUAUUAUAUUUAAUUAAAAUCAGACUUUUAUUAAAUUUUCCGACCAUCUAAACGAUAUUUUUCGGAAAUCUAUUUUUCAGUAGUCUGUAAUAUAAUAGUGAUCUGUGUCUAUAUCUUUAUAUGUAGUACUCCAUAUGUGUCCUAGGUAGUUUAUCUUAGAGGACGAUAGUACAGAUUUUUUUUACUCAGAAAGGAAAUCUCAAAAUUAACUUAUGGAACUAUAUUUAUAAAAAGUGGGAACCUUAAAAUACGUGAUCAGUAGUGGUAAAGAACUAUAAAGUCAAGUGAUACUAUAUUUUUGUGGAGUCUUAAAAUAAUUCAUAAAACAAAAUUUUUUAGGUUCUUGAAAUGCCUGUUAAACUCUCGUACUUCAAGGUAAACUAGCUAAGGGACAUAUAGAUGACUGUAUAUAAUGUUAUAGACACAUAUCAUAUUACCAUAAUAUUGCAGACUACCACUAUGUUUUUAUAAUGCUAAAAAAAUAACAUAUUGUUAAUAAUCAAAUCAAAACAUAACGUUAGUGACAAAAAAAAAUCCAACGUUUUUUUAAGGAAAAAAAACCAACAUUAAAUUUUAUUCAGAAAAAAUAAAAUAAAAUAAUUUUUGAAAUUUUUUGGAGUCUCAAAAUGCGUGUCCAACUCUCGUCCUCCAAGGUAAACUAUCUAGGACACUACAUAAAGAUAUAAACACAUAUCAGAUCGCCAUUAUAUUGCAGACUAACACUAUAUUUUAAUAAUACUAAAAAAAUAACAUAGUGUUAAUAAUCAAAUCCGAACCUAACGUUAGUGACAAAAAAAAAAUCCGAACCUAACAUUAGUGACAAAAAGGAAAAAAAUUAUAGUUCAGUGGUAAGUUUCUAAACAAAUAAUAAGUUGGAUGGCAAAAAAAUCUAUUUUCCCAUUAUUAUUUGAGAGGUAUACGACAGCCUUGUCACUGUGCCAAUCAUUUCUUUACUAUUUUAUUUUUGGAUGUUUCAUCCAAUUUUUUCCAUUUCAAAACUUAUCAAAAAUAAUUAAUGGAUCCCACCACAUUCCCAUUUUUUGUCCUUUUACACACAACUUUUACUCCACUAUCUUCUUUUUAUACACUGAAAAUCAAUAAGUCCCAUCACUCAUCCAUUUUUCAUUUCAUUUUCACUACUUUAUACAUAUUUUUUAAUCUUCGUAAGACCGUGACCAAAUCAAACAUAAACAAUUGGGUAGACGGAGGAAGGAUAAAAUAUGAGCUAGUAGGAUAGGUUAGCUGAAACAUAAGAAAUGAUAACAAGACUUAUAGUUUAAGAGAUAAUUAAACUAUUCGAAUAACUUUAAAUGGCCAGAAUACCAAAUUUUAAAACUUCCCUUUCAUUUGCAAUUUUAAACAGCAUGGGACUAUUUAGGCUUUGAUUUGGGCCUCUUGCCCAUUGUAGUUUAAGAUUUUUGAUUUUAAGCACAAGCCGGUUUUGGAGAUGCAACUAAAACUAUCUGUUUGUUGCUUGCAUGUUACAUGUGUACAGCACUACAGCGUCACUUUUACCAUAUUAUUAUUAAAUUUAUAUAUUUUAUAUUUUUAAGAGAUAUAUCUUUGAAUAUUACUCCAUCCGUCCUCCUCAAUUAUUUACGUUGGGGGACGGGAGCUCGGCACACAUUCUAAUACUCUCAAAAAAUAUAAUUUGAUAAGUUGUUUUGAAUUUUUUUCCCCUCGGAAUAAAUAUUUACUAUCUAAACUUUUAUAAAAAAAAAGAAAAAUUUCAAAAUGAAGUUAGUGAAACUAUGUUUGAUAUGCUCUUAAAAUUAUGUGUGUCGAGCAAUGAAAAAAGUUUAAAGAAAUGAGAGGGACAGAGGGAGUAACUAAUAAUUUUUAAAAAUUUUAUUCAUUAUAAUACUAAUAUAUGUCUAAAAUAUAUUUAUAUAUUAUAAAUUCAAGUUCCUUGGAGUACUCACAUUUACCGGAGUAUUGGAGUCCAAGAUCUAGACCGUCCAUUUAUAAUCUAAACUAAUGUUGUGUUUGGUUGGGGAGAAUGGAAUGGAAUGGAAUGAAAUGAGUAAAAAUACUUGAAACUAAUAAAGAUAGGAAGAAAAUUUUGAAAAAAAAAUGAGGAAGUGCAAAAUAGCUAUGAUGAUGAGAUUUGAGAAGAAAUUGAGGAUGUGGAGAAUGGAGCAUUCCAUCUCAAAUUGAAGGUGUGAAAUGUAGCACAUGAUAUAAGGAAUGGAAUGGAGGAAUGAAUGAAUUUCUUGAAAAUUGUCCAUAAAAUAGUUCAUUUUUCAUUCCAUUCCUUCCGGAAUCAUUCACCCCAACCAAACACAACACAAGGGUUCAUAUAAUUCUAUAUUUUAACUUCUUUACUUAUUUAAUUAUUGAUAUCGUUGGUGUAUAUGAAUAACCAACUCCGACAGUUGCACAGAAACAUGCAUUGUUCAAUGCAGUCGCCUCACCUAUAAACUUUGUUUUGUUCAGCGUUCUUGUAUCUACGUAAAUAUGAUUUAUGUAGAAGAAAUACGUAAACAUGGAGACUUCUUCGUUUCCCUUAAAUUAAAAAUUUUAAAUAACCAAAACCCAUUCAGAACAUUCACUAUAAUGUAUUACAAUUUCAUUAAUCAUUUUAAGAGAUAUAAUUUGAUCAUCAUGUUAUACAAUCAAAAAUUCUUUAAUCACUAUCAUUUAGUUCUGUAAAAUUUUAUCCUUUAAUUCCGCAAAAUUUUAUCCUAUUUGCUUUCGGGCUCCUCCCAAAAGGCCUCAUACUAAUGGAGUUCUUUGGCUGCUUAUAUUCAAGAUAAAUCUUCUUUAUUUUUCCGAUUUAGGACUUGGGUUGAACCCAUUCAACAAUCUCCCCUCAAUCCAAGAACCACUAAUCUUGUGACCCUUAUACCGCCGCUACUCAUCGGUUCCUCAUCUUGCGGGACACGCCGUCCGACCACCUUUGUCGGAAAGACUUUCGACACAAGCCGUCCAAGAUCUCCAAUCGUAGUUCUGGAGAGCCUCCCCCACAUCACACAACUGCAGCCCGCAACCCCAGGAUCAACUUCUUAACCUCGCUCUGAUACCACUUGUUGGGCCGCGCAACACCCUUUAACUCCGCAUUAGUAUGAUAUUGUCCGCUCUGGGCCGUGGCCAAGCCCGCACGGAUUUGCUUUCGGGCUCCUCCCAAAAGGCCUCAUACUAAUGGAGUUCUUUGGCUGCUUAUAUUCAAGAUAAAUCUUCUUUAUCUUUCCGAUGUGGGACUUGGGUUGAACCCACUCAACAAUAGCCACACUAAAAAAAUAAAUAGAAAUUAUAGUUUCUGACUUGAGUUUUGCUACGGACAUAUCCCUAAAUAUUGAUCUCUGCUUUGCAAAAAAUAUGGGUGCAGAACGGGAAAUUCUCUUGAACAAUAAAACUGAAACUCCUAGGCUAGAUGGUGUUCUGAUGUAACUGUUUAAUAUCAGUUAUUAAUGCACAUAAAAGAAGUAAGAAAAUUUAAGAAAAUAAAAUAACGUGGACCGUUAGAUCAGACUAUAAUGGAUGGUCUAGAUCUUGGACUCCAAUUCUCCAAAAAGUGAGUACUUCAAGAAACUUUAUAUAUUAAUUAGUAUAUAUUAAUAUAUUGAUGUAAUUAUAUAUUAACUCGUUAAAGCAGUGAAUCAGGUGAGAAUAUUUUGUUUGUAAGAAUAAUGAGAACAAUUGUUCUGCACUGUUUAGAAAGUGCAGAACAAUUGUUUUAGAAAAUUUUCACUUUUUGAAUGUUGUAUUGUUCUGCAACAGAACUGUUCUUAUGCUAAAAAAAUUUCUCCACUCAGCGCAACCCUAUUCGUUAAUAUAUAUGUAUAUAUAGAUAACUAUUUAAAAAAUAUUUAAAUUUAUUUUGAAAUAAGAAUUUAGUUUCAAUUUUUGAGAUUUGACCCAGGAAUCCAAUUGAUUUACCUCACCAUAUGCACAGUAUUUCAUAUAUGUCAAUAUAUUAGUUAAAUAUAUCAACAAGCUAUUGAUUAAAUUAUUAGCUUUGAAUUUUUGUGUUAGGUCAAUUAUGCUAUAGACAAAGGAAAUAAUAGUCUAAAUCUCAAUCUUAAACUUGCUCUUUAGUCAAUUUUAUACAUAUAGUCAAUAUCCAAAGUUAUGGAAGUCCAAGUCGUUUCAUCUUGUAUCGCGGUUUACUUGACGUUAUUGUUUUUCGUUUCAAAAUAAGAGGCGUUCUAAUAUUUUAUACAUAAUUAUAUCUUAAAUUAAAUAUAAAAAAAUUUAAAAUGAUUAAAAAGAGGUAAUGAGAAGAUAAAAAGAGAAAAAUAACAUAACAAAAGAAUAUAAUGUGGAAUAAGUAAGUUACAAGAACUUGGUGCGCCCUAGUCUACUCGUGGCAAGUUAGGAUGCAUGAUGCAUCACACAUCGUAAACACUAGCCUAAAUAUGAUAACUAAGAGAAAUAAAUCAAAUAAAUGGAUACUUAUAUACAUACAGUUAAAAGUUUUAGAACAUGAAGAAAAUGAAGAUUAGAGUGUUUAAAUCUAGCAGAUUACACGGUGAAAAUCUAAAAAGAUAUAUGAACAUGUAUCUUAAGAUGAGUGGAAUCAAAUUACGGUGACGGAAUUGACAAGGGUAUGCUUGAGUUGCUGAAAAAGCUUAAAGAAGUCUGAUGGUGGCGUGAAGAGAGGAAGAGAGGGGGAAACUUAAAGAUGAAAGAAAAUAAAGAGAUAAUUAAAGAAUAAACAACUCUGUUCGUACGCACUAAAAAAUAUCUCUAAAAAUGAAUGAAAAAUAAGAAAACAAUUGUCAACCGAUUAAUGAAUUCUAACUGUCAAUAACAUAGGGUGCGCUAAGUUAAAGGUUGCCUAUAAUUCACUGUAUAUACAACAAGGUGCAAUAACGGAAACAGAAAGAUGGAUUUUGUUAUAAAAAGUUAGAUAUCACCAACAUUUCCGAUGUCACCGGGAUCUGAGGGUAGUUGUUAUAUACUCGAAAUGUGGUUUGGACUUGCUUGAUAGGACCUAAAAACUGAAGAUAUUAUGUUUAGGAUGAGACUUUGUCAUAAUUGGGCUGUUCAGUGAGUGGGCUCACCACUUAUCCAAUGCCUUCAGGGAAGACACUUGGAACAAUUUAACAGGGAAAUAAUUUAUAUGAAAAUUCGAAGAGAAAGAGAAGUCCUUUUAUGCUUAGCGGGAUAUCUAUAAAUAUAGAUGAGUUAUGUCGUCAAGGUUGGAAGAUCAUGUUCUCCGUAUUCCACUGAGCCAUUCUCAUCGGGGAGUAUUAAGAUAUUAUUGAGAGGGUCUUGCUCU
rnacentral:lncRNA from 1 species